AUUGAACGCUGGCGGCAGGACUAACACAUGCAAGUCGAGCGGAGCGGCGGACGGGUGAGUAAUGCCUAGGAAUUUGCCUGGUAGUGGGGGAUAACGUCCGGAAACGGGCGCUUAUACCGCAUACUCUCAGUUGAGCCUAGGUCGGAUUAGGUAGUUGGGGGGGUAAAGGCCUCCCUAGGCGACGAUCCGUAACUGGUCUGAGAGGAAGAUCAUGCACACUGGAACGGAGACUGGGUCCAGACGCUACCGCUAGGCGGCAGUGGGGAAGAUUGGACAAUGGGCGAAAGCCGAAUCCAUCCAGGCGUCGUGUGUGAAGAAGGUCUUCGGAUUGUAAAGCACUGUGAGUUGGGAGGCGUUACCAACAGAAUAAGCACCGGCUAACUUCGUGCCAGCAGCCGCUGUAAUAC
rnacentral:rRNA from 1 species